rnacentral:rRNA from 1 species
AGAGUUUGAUCCUGGCUCAGGACGAACGCUGGCGGCGCGCCUAACACAUGCAAGUCGAACGAGAGAGAGGGAGCUUGCUUCCUCAAUCGAGUGGCGAACGGGUGAGUAACGCGUGAGGAACCUGCCUCAAAGAGGGGGACAACAGUUGGAAACGACUGCUAAUACCGCAUAAGCCCACAGCUCGGCAUCGAGCAGAGGGAAAAGGAGCAAUCCGCUUUGAGAUGGCCUCGCGUCCGAUUAGCUAGUUGGUGAGGUAAUGGCCCACCAAGGCGACGAUCGGUAGCCGGACUGAGAGGUUGAACGGCCACAUUGGGACUGAGACACGGCCCAGACUCCUACGGGAGGCAGCAGUGGGGAAUAUUGCACAAUGGGGGAAACCCUGAUGCAGCGACGCCGCGUGGAGGAAGAAGGUCUUCGGAUUGUAAACUCCUGUUGUUGAGGAAGAUAAUGACGGUGCUCAACAAGGAAGUGACGGCUAACUACGUGCCAGCAGCCGCGGUAAAACGUAGGUCACAAGCGUUGUCCGGAAUUACUGGGUGUAAAGGGAGCGCAGGCGGGAAGACAAGUUGGAAGUGAAAUCUAUGGGCUCAACCCAUAAACUGCUUUCAAAACUGUUUUUCUUGAGUAGUGCAGAGGUAGGCGGAAUUCCCGGUGUAGCGGUGGAAUGCGUAGAUAUCGGGAGGAACACCAGUGGCGAAGGCGGCCUACUGGGCACCAACUGACGCUGAGGCUCGAAAGUGUGGGUAGCAAACAGGAUUAGAUACCCUGGUAGUCCACACCGUAAACGAUGAUUACUAGGUGUUGGAGGAUUGACCCCUUCAGUGCCGCAGUUAACACAAUAAGUAAUCCACCUGGGGAGUACGACCGCAAGGUUGAAACUCAAAGGAAUUGACGGGGGCCCGCACAAGCAGUGGAGUAUGUGGUUUAAUUCGACGCAACGCGAAGAACCUUACCAAGUCUUGACAUCCUGCGACGAUGCUGGAAACAGUAUUUUCCUUCGGGACGCAGAGACAGGUGGUGCAUGGUUGUCGUCAGCUCGUGUCGUGAGAUGUUGGGUUAAGUCCCGCAACGAGCGCAACCCUUACUGUCAGUUACUACGCAAGAGGACUCUGGCAGGACUGCCGUUGACAAAACGGAGGAAGGUGGGGACGACGUCAAAUCAUCAUGCCCUUUAUGACUUGGGCUACACACGUACUACAAUGGCGUU